ensembl:lncRNA
CAUACGUCUGUAAAUGGUGCUUUGCAUGUAAUGUCACCUCUUUGUAUGCAAUAUUGACAUUCUCUGUACUUUUAUCUUUGGUACCUUGGCAUUAAUAAAAUAAAUAAAAAAGGAACUAAUCAAUUAUUUUUCUGGCUCAGACUGCAUUGACUGAAACAGGUGAGCUAGACUAAUCCCAGUACAGCAGGGCCGAACCCAGUACAGAACCUAUAGAAUUUUGCGCAUGCGCGACUGAACGAAUCACUCCCCAAGACGACUCGUUCUUCCUGAGUCACAUUAAAGAUUCGUUCAGAGUAGAGGGUUCUUCUGUCGCGAAUGCCAUGCCUUUUUCUCUUCUCCGCUAUAAGCUGUCGGCUCACAUAUCUUUGGAGUCUAGAAAUCAGGACUUUAAGCCCUGGUAGGAUUACCUGGGACUGACGGACAUGAUCAGAGACAUGCAGCGGCCAGCGAAGCAGCCAGACGUGGCCGAUGACACCGCCCAUUAAAAACAGAUGUGCUGGCUACAAGCUGAUCCUGGGUCAUCUGAGAUCAAGGCAACUUUUUGUCAAAAAUGGAGAGUGGUUGUAUACAGUGGUAUUGAUGGGUUUUCAUGGCUCAUCCUUUACCUGACUGCUGCAACAAACAACAAAGCUCAAACUGUCCUGGACAGUUUUCAGUCUGCAGUGGAGCAGUAUGGUAUCCCCCCUCGAGUCCGUUUAGAAAAGGGAGGGGAAAACAUUCUGGUGGCACGCUUCAUGGUGACCAGUCAAGGAGUCAAUAGGAACAGUUACAUUGCUGGAAGGAGCGCUCAAAUAAAGGUACUUAACACUCCAGUAAAGUAAUUUGUUAAGUUUCCAAAUAUUUGUAUUACAUUAACAUCUUUUCAAAAAAAUGUUUUCUUGUUAAUUAUAAGUCAAUACAAUUAAAAGUAUGUUUUUAAAAAUGACAUUUGGAAUUACCAUUAUUAUUAUGAAUAAUGUUUACUUGUCUUUAAACACAUAAUUAUGAAUCCAGGGGCCUCAUGUAUAAAACUUUCCAUAGAUUUCAUCCUAAAAGUGUACGUAUACACAAAAGCUAGAUACACAAGAACCUGCGCAAAAAUCCCUUUAAAAAUCCCAGUUGGAAAGAUUGUGCGUACGUGUAUCUCCACCCUAACUCCUCCCCAAAAUAACCAUAUAUGGAGCUUACAAUGCCAUAUAUAUAUAAUGAAGAGUUUAUUCACAAAAAAACGAUAAACGCCACUGCAUUAUUCUCCAAAUAGUGUGCGAUCUGAACCCUAAACACGUUUUACUGCAGAAGCCGACAAGCUAUAGUUUAGAAAAUGGUAUUAAAAUAUGACAAGAACUCAGUUAAACUGUGUCAGAACAAAUUCAGCUUGAUAAUGUUAGAUAACUGAUAGAAUAAAUUCAGUUGAAUAGCUGUCAGCUGUUAAAUUUAAGUUUACAAUUAGAUUAUACCAAUUUAGUUCAACCAAUUACCUAACAAUGUACUUAAUUUUGUUCAGUCUGUGGUGUAAAAAUUUAUGAGGACUAAAUUUUAUUUGAGGAAAUCUGUGUAAAAAGGUUGGAUUAGCAAAUAAUGAAAAAACAAUUAAGAAAAACAUGGUCAGGUCAAAGAGUCUGAAUAAUUUUUGGUCCCAAAAUUGUAUCAAUUUUUGGGUAUAAUGUCACAGUUUACUUUAUUUUCCUAUCUUCACUUACAUAACUUAACUAUACUGUCCUGCACCUACAAGUAAAAAAGUUAAAUCUGGUUACAANUAAAUGCCCAACUUUAAACUCAAUUUUCAUUCUAGAAGGAG